rnacentral:tRNA from 2 species
UUUAAACCCUAAAUAUGAAUGAUAUCUCAUAUUA